rnacentral:tRNA from 1 species
GCUAGCGUAGCUUAAUACAAAGCAUAACACUGAAGAUGUUAAGAUGGGCCUUGACAAGUUCCGCGUGCA